rnacentral:lncRNA from 1 species
GAGAGCUUCUUCCUAGGAGCGUCGCCUUCGGUACAAGACGGAUUGGACGGGCGGGGCCAGAGGUGGAUUUGCUUGGCGCUUGCGGCGGCUGCUACUGGAAAGGCCGUUCAAGGCACCGCCAGCACCGCGAUCCCCGCUGGACAAACCAGGCGUUGGCUCUUCGGAGAACGGUCGACUGUGUUCGGCUGCCUGGAAUGCGGACCUCCGCAGUGAUGUGAGUCCCUAAGAGGUGACUGCGGGUCUCCGGACUUAACUUCUUCGUGCUAAGUACACUCAAUGUUAUGUAUGAAGGAGUAUUUCUCCUGCCCACCCGCCUCCUCUCAUCCUGUUCCCUGCUGGAAGCGGCUCCUCCGCAAAGCCAGACAGAUAUUUAGUGGUGGUGAUGACAACCCAUCAGAAAUAAUAAUUAGCAAAGGGCAGCCUUUGUCUCGAAGCAGUGAAUGGGACCUCAGCCCCCACAGGUGUGAUGCUGGGUGGAGACAGGUGGGCUUGACUCAAAGAUCUCACUAUCCGAGGAAGAAUUAGGGAACUCCAAGAGUGUAUGGAAUGUUGUUUUGGUCUAACUCAGAUUUCCCCUAAUGCAGAACAAGACUCAUUUUCCCUGAGCAUCGUUUUCUACAUGUUUUUAUAAUUAAAUAAGAACAGCACAUGCAGCAGGCACUAUGCUAACUGCUUUACAAAUACUACUUUUUCAAGGCAAUAUACAUGUAUACAAGUAUAUAUGUGUAUACACACACAUCUACACAACCACCAGUCUAAGGAAAA